rnacentral:rRNA from 1 species
GUCCACGCCGUAAACGAUGGAUACUAGCUGUUGGGGGCAACCUCAGUGGCUAAGCGAAAGUGAUAAGUAUCCCACCUGGGGAGUACGUUCGCAAGAAUGAAACUCAAAGGAAUUGACGGGGGCCCGCACAAGCGGUGGAGCAUGUGGUUUAAUUCGAUGAUACGCGAGGAACCUUACCAAGGCUUAAAUGUAGAUUGACAGAUUUGGAAACAGAUUUUUCUUCGGACAAUUUACAAGGUGCUGCAUGGUUGUCGU